rnacentral:rRNA from 1 species
CCUACGGGAGGCAGCAGUGAGGAAUAUUGGUCAAUGGACGAGAGUCUGAACCAGCCAAGUAGCGUGAAGGAUGACUGCCCUAUGGGUUGUAAACUUCUUUUAUAUGGGAAUAAAAUGUUCCACGUGUGGGAUUUUGUAUGUACCAUAUGAAUAAGGAUCGGCUAACUCCGUGCCAGCAGCCGCGGUAAUACGGAGGAUCCGAGCGUUAUCCGGUAGUGUUGGGUUUAAAGGGAGCGUAGGUGGAUUGUUAAGGCAGUUGUGAAAGUUUGCGGCUCAACCGUAAAAUUGCAGUUGAAACUGGGGGACGGGAGAGCAGUAGAGGGCGGCGGAACGCGUGGUGGAGCGGUAAAAUGCGUAGAUAGAAGGAAGAA